AAGUAUAGCAUCUCCCUUACACCGAGAAGUCAUCCGUGCAAAUCGGAUAACUCUGA
rnacentral:tRNA from 1 species